rnacentral:rRNA from 1 species
GCUUACGGCCUUACCACCCUGUCUGCGCCCGAUAUCGUCUGAUCUCGGAAUCUAAGCAGAGUGGGGCCUGGUUAUUACUUGGAUGGGACACCGCCUGGGAAUACCAGGUGCUGUAAGUU